GCUCAGAUGUAUCAUACUCCUGAAGUUGGAUUAAUUAAAAACAAGAAAGUUUGCCUGGAUGAAUCAUUCAAUGCUUCAGCUGCUACAGCAGCUAUUGAUGCUGUUAAAGAUGUUGCAAAGAAAAUUAGGUCAAGAAUGGCUUAUCUUAAAUCUAAAGAGAAGAUGAAUAGGAUUUUUGAUGGCACUAAAUCUCUUUCCUUGAGAUUCUUGAUUCCGAAGAUUCUGGAGAUUGUGACAGUGAUGAUUGCUUGCCUCAUAUUGUGGAUUUUGAGGCAGAUUUCAAUGAAAAUGAGUCACCUAUUGAUGCAAGGCCCUUGUCCUCCCAAAUUGCUCUCAAUUCUAACUCUUUCCACCCAAAUGUGAGAACAUAUAACAAUUUGAAGACUCUGAGCAAUAACAAGGAUAAAGGAAAAUUUGAUGCUGAAUUUGUCAGGAAAAGGGCAUUCCAAGAUCUCACA